rnacentral:snRNA from 1 species
GUGCUCACUUUGGCAGCACAUAUACUAAAACUGGAACGACACAGAGAAGAUCAGCAUGACCCCUGCACAAGAAUGACAUGCAAAUUCAUGAAGCGUUCCAUAUUUUU